CGCCAUGGCGGCAGCCUACACAUGCAAGUCGAGCGGUAGCACAGAGAGCUUGCUCUCGGGUGACGAGCGGCGGACGGGUGAGUAAUGUCUGGGAAACUGCCUGAUGGAGGGGGAUAACUACUGGAAACGGUAGCUAAUACCGCAUAACGUCGCAAGACCAAAGUGGGGGACCUUCGGGCCUCAUGCCAUCAGAUGUGCCCAGAUGGGAUUAGCUAGUAGGUGGGGUAAUGGCUCACCUAGGCGACGAUCCCUAGCUGGUCUGAGAGGAUGACCAGCCACACUGGAACUGAGACACGGUCCAGACUCCUACGGGAGGCAGCAGUGGGGAAUAUUGCACAAUGGGCGCAAGCCUGAUGCAGCCAUGCCGCGUGUAUGAAGAAGGCCUUCGGGUUGUAAAGUACUUUCAGCGAGGAGGAAGGCAUUAAGGUUAAUAACCUUGGUGAUUGACGUUACUCGCAGAAGAAGCACCGGCUAACUCCGUGCCAGCAGCCGCGGUAAUACGGAGGGUGCAAGCGUUAAUCGGAAUUACUGGGCGUAAAGCGCACGCAGGCGGUCUGUCAAGUCGGAUGUGAAAUCCCCGGGCUCAACCUGGGAACUGCAUUCGAAACUGGCAGGCUAGAGUCUUGUAGAGGGGGGUAGAAUUCCAGGUGUAGCGGUGAAAUGCGUAGAGAUCUGGAGGAAUACCGGUGGCGAAGGCGGCCCCCUGGACAAAGACUGACGCUCAGGUGCGAAAGCGUGGGGAGCAAACAGGAUUAGAUACCCUGGUAGUCCACGCCGUAAACGAUGUCGACUUGGAGGUUGUGCCCUUGAGGCGUGGCUUCCGGAGCUAACGCGUUAAGUCGACCGCCUGGGGAGUACGGCCGCAAGGUUAAAACUCAAAUGAAUUGACGGGGGCCCGCACAAGCGGUGGAGCAUGUGGUUUAAUUCGAUGCAACGCGAAGAACCUUACCUACUCUUGACAUCCAGAGAACUUAGCAGAGAUGCUUUGGUGCCUUCGGGAACUCUGAGACAGGUGCUGCAUGGCUGUCGUCAGCUCGUGUUGUGAAAUGUUGGGUUAAGUCCCGCAACGAGCGCAACCCUUAUCCUUUGUUGCCAGCGGUUCGGCCGGGAACUCAAAGGAGACUGCCAGUGAUAAACUGGAGGAAGGUGGGGAUGACGUCAAGUCAUCAUGGCCCUUACGAGUAGGGCUACACACGUGCUACAAUGGCAUAUACAAAGAGAAGCGACCUCGCGAGAGCAAGCGGACCUCAUAAAGUAUGUCGUAGUCCGGAUUGGAGUCUGCAACUCGACUCCAUGAAGUCGGAAUCGCUAGUAAUCGUAGAUCAGAAUGCUACGGUGAAUACGUUCCCGGGCCUUGUACACACCGCCCGUCACACCAUGGGAGUGGGUUGCAAAAGAAGUAGGUAGCUUAACCUUCGGGAGGGCGCUACCACUUUGAUCAGGG
rnacentral:rRNA from 1 species